CUCUGGAAGCCCACAAAAAAAUUUAGUCUCCUCUCUUUCUUCUGGUUCUGUCACGCUGAACCUCCCAUCGAAUUUCUCCGGCGAGCCGUCGUGAUCCACCCUCGGCGCGCCUACUCUGCUUCCUCCACUCCAUUUUGUUGCCCCUGCUCUUCCCCCACAAUGCUUGAACACUCAAGCUCCACAAGAUCCCCGCCACCGAGGGCUGUCGCCGCCGCGCGCCUGGGGGCUGCUGCUGCCGCCGUCGCGGCCCUGUGGCGGGGCACAGUCGACGUCGGGGCGAAUCACCGGAGAUUGGAAUUUUGAAGAUCAGGACGCGCUGUAGUAGGAGGUCGAGAUACCAGAUAGUCGGAGGCGGAGAUGGGAUGCAGUAUCCACCGCUCCAUUUCCAUUUGCGCCGCUCCACCAUCAACCCUAAGCUUUGAUGGCCCGAGAGGCCGCCGGGCCUAGCCCCUCCGCUCCUCCCUCUCCAUGCCGCCGACGGGCCGCGCUGAUUGGCGAAGCUUGGUUGGCAUCACGGGCCCUUCUCUCUGCCCCGCUUGGUGGUGGACGGCACGAGACGAGAGUGCUGUUGCGCUGGCGUACUGCACGAUGGCGCGGCGGCUCGGUGGCGAGUGCUGGAGCAUGGUUGUCAGCUCUUGUGGUGGAGUGGUGGCCGUUGGUCAUCGACGUAGAUGUUUCGCGGAGGUGGCGACCGUGGCUGCUGCGGCGGCCGAUCUGGUUCCGCACAAAUCUUGAUUUCUCCCUUUGCGAGCCCUUGGUGGUUUACGCUGGAGGCUGGCGGUUGUGCGGGGAAUCGGAGUCAGAGUGGCUGUGGUCGGCGCUUACCGGCGGCCGGCGGCCGGCAUAGCCGGUUGACUGGGUGGCCCCCGUCGAGAUAUGAAGAGGCCAUAUAUGGAGAAUUGGAGAGUCCUGGGCUCAGCUGCAGGGGCGGGACGUCUCCUCCUCCUUACUCGGGAUCGGCUUUCCCCGCACGUGGCUUGGUGCGUGUCCACUGGGCAGCCAUGGCGGCGAUGCUUCUUGGCUUUGACCUCCCUAUAACCAUGCCUUGUGGUGGGAUCUGGAGGCUCAGCUGUUGUUUUGCCUUCGCCAUCCAUAGGCGUUUGUAGGCUGCUCUGCUUGAUGCGAUGGUCGAUGGGAGUUCCUCUGGUUGUGGCUAGGUUGUAUCUCUCUCUGGUUUGCGUCCUUGCCUGAGGAAUUCGUUAGGUGAUGCUAUUGAUGGUCCGGCUUCCGCAGCCUGCAUUCCAGUUUUGCUUCUGUGGUAGCUCAACACUUUGAAAGCAUGUCCAGCAAUUCUGCGGUCCGUAUGAGCGCUCGCGGGCUGGGAUUCCUCUAGGCGAGUGACCGGACGAUUGUAUUGCCGGUAAGUUUCUUUUUUCAUCCCAUAUUCAAAGCAAAAUAAAUCUGGAAUGCAAUCAAAAUAGCCGCAAAGUGUCUGUUCUGUCAAGCAAUCUAGCUAGAGCAUGUAAUUCAUCAGCCAAAAAAUGCAUGCUUUAUUGCUUUCCCUCUGUAGUCACAUGUACUCCUUGCCUGACUUUGCACAGGCUAUCGUCAAUCAUUCUAUAUGAAAUUUCAGCCAAAGGUAUCGUCAUUUAAUUAAAAUGGGCAUGUUUAUUUUUCUCUGUACACAUCAUAUAUACCAGCAUUGCAUCAAUCCUUGGCGUUGCUGAAAGCCACGACCCGGACGACGACCAGGACGCACGUUUCUGUACGAGUUCUAGAACUGGUUGACUACUUUGAGCGAUGGAGGCGAUGCACAUGGUGGCGCUUGAGAUCAGGUUGUAACUGAGGAGUAGGCAGACAGAGAGCUAGCAACGAGCGGGAAGAACCAUGACAAGCUGCAGGCGGCCGCGUCCAUAUGAAUGUUUCUGAUGCAUUAGACCACUAGCGGUUGGAAGGAUCUAGCAGAAGCGUGGAUACAAAGACCAGUGGCCUUGGAACAUUAAGAUAUGCUGACGAUUCUGGAAGAAACAAAGGAGACGCUUGCCUAGCUUAUGAAGAUCCUUCUGCUGCUCAUGCGGCUGGUGGAUUCUACAACAUUUAUAAUGCAUAUACUCUUCCCAUGCGUCAGAUUAUGACAUGAGAGGUCAUAAAAUUAGUGUUGUGAUGGCUGAAAAAUCGGCUCCCAGGGCUCCAACAUCUGGUCAUGGAGGUGGACGUGGUGGUGGUGACUAUGGAGGGGACCAACACAGAGACGGAGGAGGCCAUGGGCGUAACAACCAGGGUUGUGGUUCGUGUUCCUGGCCAUACUGGGAACACAUAUAAUUAAUUAAGAUUGUCUUUUGUGAGAAACCUUUUCUAUUUAUGUUCUUCAGACUUGUACCCACACAGGAACUUAAGGUAGGAGGUUUUUCUGCUUUCCCUGCACUUCUGUUCCAUUGUCAUACUCCAGUGUUGGUUGCCAAAAGUGAUCGGUCUAUGUUAUGUGAA